UACGUAGGGUGCGAGCGUUGUCCGGAAUUAUUGGGCGUAAAGGGCUCGUAGGCGGUUUGUCGCGUCGGGAGUGAAAUCCACUGGCUUAACUGGUGGCUUGCUUUCGAUACGGGCAGACUGGAGGUAUGCAGGGGAGAACGGAAUUCCUGGUGUAGCGGUGAAAUGCGCAGAUAUCAGGAGGAACACCGGUGGCGAAGGCGGCAUCCUGGACCGAGAUUGACGCUGAGGCGCGAAAGCCAGGGGAGCAAACGGG
rnacentral:rRNA from 1 species